rnacentral:rRNA from 1 species
UACGGAGGGUGCAAGCGUUAAUCGGAAUAACUGGGCGUAAAGCGCACGCAGGCGGUCUUUCAAGUCGGAUGUGAAAUCCCCGGGCUUAACCUGGGAACUGCAUUUGAAACUGGGAGACUAGAGUAUUGUAGAGGGGGGUAGAAUUCCACGUGUAGCGGUGAAAUGCGUAGAGAUGUGGAGGAAUACCGAUGGCGAAGGCAGCCCCCUGGACAUAUACUGACGCUCAUGUGCGAAAGCGUGGGGAGCAAACAGG